GACGAACGCUGGCGGCGUGCUUAACACAUGCAAGUCGAACGGAAAGGCUCCAGCUUGCUGGAGUACUCGAGUGGCGAACGGGUGAGUAACACGUGGGUAAUCUGCCCUGCACUCUGGGAUAAGCCUGGGAAACUGGGUCUAAUACUGGAUAUGACCUUUCUCCUUAUGGGGUUUGGUGGAAAGUUUUUCGGUGUAGGAUGAGCCCGCGGCCUAUCAGCUUGUUGGCGGGGUGAUGGCCUACCAAGGCGACGACGGGUAGCCGGCCUGAGAGGGUGAUCGGCCACAUUGGGACUGAGAUACGGCCCAGACUCCUACGGGAGGCAGCAGUGGGGAAUAUUGCACAAUGGGCGGAAGCCUGAUGCAGCGACGCCGCGUGAGGGAUGACGGCCUUCGGGUCGUAAACCUCUUUCAGCAGGGACGAAGCGUAAGUGACGGUACCUGCAGAAGAAGCACCGGCUAACUAUGU
rnacentral:rRNA from 1 species